rnacentral:rRNA from 1 species
UGGGGAAUCUUGCGCAAUGGGCGAAAGCCUGACGCAGCGACGCCGCGUGGGUGACGAAGGCCUUCGGGUUGUAAAGCCCUGUGGGGGGAGACGAACCGGCCUGUGGCUAACAUCCACGGGUCUUGACGGUAUCCCUUUAGCAAGCAUCGGCUAACUCUGUGCCAGCAGCCGCGGUAAGACAGAGGAUGCAAACGUUGCUCGGAAUUACUGGGCGUAAAGCGCGUGUAGGUGGUUCGGUAAGUCAGGUGUGAAAUCCCGGGGCUCAACCCCGGAAGUGCAUUUGAUACUACCAGACUUGAGUACUGGAGAGGAGAGUGGAAUUCCCGGUGUAGAGGUGAAAUUCGUAGAUAUCGGGAGGAACACCAGUGGCGAAGGCGACUCUCUGGACAGAUACUGACACUGAGACGCGAAAGCGUGGGGAGCAAACAG